rnacentral:rRNA from 1 species
GUUCGGUCCCUAUCUGUUAUGGGCGAUGGAAGUUUGAGAGGAGCUGCUUUUAGUACGAGAGGACCGAAGUGGACGAACCUCUGGUUUACCAGUUAUCCUGCCAAGGGUAAGUGCUGGGUAUCUAAGUUCGGAAGGGAUAACCGCUGAAAGCAUCUAAGCGGGAAGCCCACCUCAAGAUUAGACAUCCCUGAGACUUUAAGUCUCCUGAAGACUCCAGAGAGACUAUCUGGUUGAUAGGCUGCAGGUGUAAGUAUAGUGAUGUAUUCAGCCGAGCAGUACUAAUAAGUCGUGAGGCUUGACCAU